CCUGGUGCCCGCAGAGCCGAUCUGCAGUUAAACGGGAAGCAGGGAGUGCACGCUGCCUAAGCGCUGCGCCAACCUGCGCUGCCCCCGCAACGGUAAGCGAACGCCAUCGACGCCCGCGCCACCUCUCGCAAGAAGAGGGCGCGGCGUUGCGCAGGUCCGUCCACAUGCCACUGUUCGAUUGAAUGGGAAGGCGGGCGGGCCCGGUUCGCCAGCCCGGAUACCGGCCAGGACAGU
rnacentral:ncRNA from 1 species